UACGUAGGGGGCAAGCGUUGUCCGGAUUUAUUGGGCGUAAAGAGCGUGUAGGCGGCCAUACAGGUCCGUUGUGAAAACUGGAGGCUUAACCUCCAGACGUCGAUGGAAACCGUAUGGCUAGAGUCCGGAAGGAGGAGAGUGGAAUUCCUGGUGUAGCGGUGAAAUGCGCAGAGUAUCAGGAGGAACACCGGUGGCGAAGGGCGGGUCUCUGGGCCGUAAACUGGACGCUGGAGGGAGCGAAAAGCAUGGGAGCGAACAGGG
rnacentral:rRNA from 1 species